GUAGGUGCGGCGCGGAUCUUCUGCGGGCAGACCAUAGAUCUGCCAGGUGAAGCCGAAGAUGCGCGGGCGUUCCACGCGCUCCACUCGCA
rnacentral:tRNA from 1 species